GUUGGGGAGAUGUGGCUGCAUCCGUGGCUGUCUGAGGACUGGUGGUGACACCCGAGCCCUGUCCCCUCCAGCGGCAUGAGGAGAUGAUCAUCCCUGGAAGAACCCCCUGAUUUCCCUCAGAGCCCAGGGCCAUUUCCCCUGAAUGAUCAAUAAAUCCCUUCAGCAAAGCUA